rnacentral:rRNA from 1 species
GUCCACGCCGUAAACGUUGGGAACUAGGUGUGGGUCUCAUUCCACGAGAUCCGUGCCGCAGCUAACGCAUUAAGUUCCCCGCCUGGGGAGUACGGCCGCAAGGCUAAAACUCAAAGGAAUUGACGGGGGCCCGCACAAGCGGCGGAGCAUGUGGAUUAAUUCGAUGCAACGCGAAGAACCUUACCAAGGCUUGACAUAUACCGGAAACACCCAGAGAUGGGUGCCCCGCAAGGUCGGUAUACAGGUGGUGCAUGGUUGUCGU